rnacentral:rRNA from 1 species
CUGCAACUGUUUAUUAAAAACAUAGCACUCUGCAAACACGAAAGUGGACGUAUAGGGUGUGAUGCCUGCCCGGUGCUGGAAGGUUAAUUGAUGGGGUUAGCGUAAGCGAAGCUCUUGAUCGAAGCCCCAGUAAACGGCGGCCGUAACUAUAACGGUCCUAAGGUAGCGAAAUUCCUUGUCGGGUAAGUUCCGACCUGCACGAAUGGCAUAAUGAUGGCGGCGCUGUCUCCAGCAGAGGCUCAGUGAAAUCGAAUUCGCCGUGAAGAUGCGGUGUACCCGCGGCUAGACGGAAAGACCCCGUGAACCUUUACUGCAGCUUGACAUUGAACUUUGAUCUUACUUGUGUAGGAUAGGUGGGAGGCUUUGAAGUGGUGACGCUAGUUGCCAUGGAGCCGUCCUUGAAAUACCACCCUGGUAAUAUUGAGGUUCUAACUCUGUCCCGUUAUCCGGGACGAGGACCAUGUCUGGUGGGUAGUUUGACUGGGGCGGUCUCCUCCUAAAGAGUAACGGAGGAGUACGAAGGUGCGCUCAGACCGGUCGGAAAUCGGUCGUAGAGUAUAAAGGCAAAAGCGCGCUUAACUGCGAGACCCACAAGUCGAGCAGGUACGAAAGUAGGUCUUAGUGAUCCGGUGGUUCUGUAUGGAAGGGCCAUCGCUCAACGGAUAAAAGGUACUCCGGGGAUAACAGGCUGAUACCGCCCAAGAGUUCAUAUCGACGGCGGUGUUUGGCACCUCGAUGUCGGCUCAUCUCAUCCUGGGGCUGAAGCAGGUCCCAAGGGUAUGGCUGUUCGCCAUUUAAAGAGGUACGCGAGCUGGGUUUAGAACGUCGUGAGACAGUUCGGUCCCUAUCUACCGUGGGCGCUGGAAAUUUGAGAGGAUCUGCUCCUAGUACGAGAGGACCAGAGUGGACGAACCUCUGGUGUACCGGUUGUGACGCCAGUCGCAUCGCCGGGUAGCUAUGUUCGGAAGGGAUAACCGCUGAAAGCAUCUAAGCGGGAAGCCUACCUCAAGAUAAGAUUUCCCCGAGACUUUAUGUCUCCUAAAGAGCCGUUGAAGACUACGACGUUGAUAGGUUGGAUGUGGAAGUAUAGUGAUAUGUGAAGCUGACCAAUACUAAUUGCUCGUGAGGCUUGACUAU